rnacentral:rRNA from 1 species
GACGAACGCUGGCGGCGUGCUUAACACAUGCAAGUCGAACGGAAAGGCCCUGCUUUUGUGGGGGGCUCGAGUGGCGAACGGGUGAGUAACACGUGAGUAACCUGCCCUUGACUUUGGGAUAACUUCAGGAAACUGGGGCUAAUACCGGAUAGGAGCUCCUGCUGCAUGGUGGGGGUUGGAAAGUUUCGGCGGUUGGGGAUGGACUCGCGGCUUAUCAGCUUGUUGGUGGGGUAGUGGCUUACCAAGGCUUUGACGGGUAGCCGGCCUGAGAGGGUGACCGGCCACAUUGGGACUGAGGGACGGCCCAGACUCCUACGGGAGGCAGCAGUGGGGAAUAUUGCACAGUGGGCGGAAGCCUGAGGCAGCAACGCCGCGUGCGGGAUGACGGCCUUCGGGUUGUGAACCGCUUUCGCCUGUGACGAAGCGUGAGUGACGGUAAUGGGUAAAGAAGCACCGGCUAACUACGUG